AACGACUCUCGACAACGGAUAUCUCGGCUCUCGCAUCGAUGAAGAACGUAGCGAAAUGCGAUACUUGGUGUGAAUUGCAGAAUCCCGUGAACCAUCGAGUCUUUGAACGCAAGUUGCGCCCGAAGCCACUCGGCUUAGGGCACGCCUGCCUGGGUGUCACGC
rnacentral:rRNA from 1 species